GAUGAACGCUGGCGGCGUGCCUAAUACAUGCAAGUCGAGCGAACAGACGAGGAGCUUGCUCCUCUGACGUUAGCGGCGGACGGGUGAGUAACACGUGGAUAACCUACCUAUAAGACUGGGAUAACUUCGGGAAACCGGAGCUAAUACCGGAUAAUAUAUUGAACCGCAUGGUUCAAUAGUGAAAGACGGUUUUGCUGUCACUUAUAGAUGGAUCCGCGCCGCAUUAGCUAGUUGGUAAGGUAACGGCUUACCAAGGCAACGAUGCGUAGCCGACCUGAGAGGGUGAGCGGCCACACUGGAACUGGGUCACGGUCCAGACUCCGACGGGAGGCAGCAGUAGGGAAUCUUCCGAAAUGGGCGAAAGCAUUACGGAGCAAUGGGGCGUGGGUGAUGAAGGCCUUGGGACCGUGAAGCACUGUGAUUAGGGAAGAACAAAUGCGUAAGUAACUGUACACAUCUUGACGGUACCUAAGCAGAAAGCAACGGCUAACUACGUG
rnacentral:rRNA from 1 species